rnacentral:rRNA from 1 species
AUACGUAGGGAGCAAGCGUUGUCCGGAAUUACUGGGCGUAAAGGGUGCGUAGGCGGCUUGGCAAGUCAGAUGUGAAAUCCCCGGGCUUAACUCGGGGGGUGCAUUUGAAACUGCUGAGCUUGAGUGCAGGAGAGGAAAGCGGAAUUCCUAGUGUAGCGGUGAAAUGCGUAGAUAUUAGGAGGAACACCAGUGGCGAAGGCGGCUUUCUGGACUGUAACUGACGCUGAGGCACGAAAGCGUGGGGAGC